rnacentral:rRNA from 1 species
AGAGUUUGAUCCUGGCUCAGGACGAACGCUGGCGGCGUGCUUUAGGUAUGCAAGUCGAGCGCUCCUCCGAUUCGGAGGGGAGCGGCAGACGGGUGAGUAACGCGUAGGAACGUACCCUUUGGUGAGGAAUAGCCCCGAGAAAUCGGGGGUAAUACCGCAUAACAUCCCCUCCGAUUCGGAGUGGAUAAAAGCGAGUAACUUCGCGCCGAAGGAGUGGCCUGCGUCCUAUCAGCUUGUAGGUAGGGUAAUGGCCUACCUAGGCGACGACGGGUAGCUGGUCUGAGAGGACGGCCAGCCACAAGGGCACUGAAACACGGGCCCUACGCCUACGGGUGGCAGCAACCGGGAAUCUUGCGCAAUGGGCGAAAGCCUGACGCAGCGACGCCGCGUGGAGGAUGAAGGCCUUCGGGUUGUAAACUUCUGUGUCCCGAUGUAGUGUCGGGGUAGAAAGCACCAGCAAACUACGUGCCAGCAGCGGCGGUAAUUCGUAGGGUGCGAGCGUUGUCCGGAUUUAUUGGGCGUAAAGGGUUUCGUAGGCGGUCUUCUAAGUUACCUGUUAAAGCCUCUUGCUCAACAGGAGAAAGGCAGGUAAUACUGGAGGACUAGAAGCGGUUCGGGGGUGCUGGAACUGGCGGUGGAGGGGUGAAAUCCAUUGAGAUCGCCAAGAACACCGAGGGCGAAGGCAGGCACCUAGGACUGUUUUGACGCUGAGGAACGAAAGCUAGGGGAGCGAACCGGAUUAGAGACCCGGGUAGUCCUAGCUGUAAACGAUGAACGCUAGCUGGCCGAUCCCUCCGAUUCGGAGGGGAUGGCUGGCGUAAGUUAACACGUUAAGCGUUCCGCCUGGGUAGUACAGCCGCAAGGCUGAACUCAAAGAAUUGGCGGGGACCUGCACAACCAGCGGAGCAUGUGGUUUAAUUCGAUACGAAGCGUAGAACCUUACCUGGGCUUGACAUUCAGUCCUCAAUGCUUUUUCCGAAAGGAGAAAGAAUCCUCCGAUUCGGAGGAGGGGCUGGACAGCUGCUGCAUGGUUGUCGUCAGCUCUAGUCGUGAGAUGUUCCCUUAAGUGGGGUAUAGAGCGCAACCCCCAUCCUAUGUUAUCUAUCAUAGGAGACUGCCCCCGGUAAACCCAGGGGAGGAAGGUGGGGAUGACGUCAAAUCAGCAUGGCGCUUAUGUCCAGGGCGACACACAUCCUACAAUGGUCGGUAUAAUGGGUUGCCAAGCCGUAAGGCGGAGCUAAUCCCAUCAAAGCCGGUCUCAGUUCGGAUUGUGGGCUGAAACCCGCCCACAUGAAGCCGGAGUUGGUAGUAAUCGCGGGUCAGCAGACCGCGGUGAAUACGUUCUCAGGUCUUGCACACACUGCCCGUCAAGUCAGCAAAGUCGAGAGGACCCGAAACCCUGAACCGUCUGGUGCAGGACUAAGGUCAGUUCGGCGACGAGGACUAAGUCGUAACAAGGUAACC